rnacentral:rRNA from 1 species
CACGUAGGGCGCGAGCGUUGUCCGGAUUUAUUGGGCGUAAAGAGCUCGUAGGCGGCUUGUUGCGUCGACCGUGAAAACCCGUGGCUUAACUGCGGGCUUGCGGUCGAUACGGGCGGGCUGGAGUUCGGUAGGGGAGACUGGAAUUCCUGGUGUAGCGGUGAAAUGCGCAGAUAUCAGGAGGAACACCGGUGGCGAAGGCGGGUCUCUGGGCCGAUACUGACGCUGAGGAGCGAAAGCGUGGGGAGCGAACAGG